rfam:Ictidomys tridecemlineatus contig088398, whole genome shotgun sequence.
UGGGUUAUGGCUCAGUGGUAGAGCGCUCACCUAACAUGUGUGAAGUACUGGGUUUGAUCCUCAGCACCACAC